rnacentral:rRNA from 1 species
GAUGAACGCUGGCGGCGUGCUUAACACAUGCAAGUCGAACGAAGCACUUUAAUCGAUUUCUUCGGAUUGAAAUUUUAGUGACUGAGUGGCGGACGGGUGAGUAACGCGUGGGUAACCUGCCUCACACAGGGGGAUAACAGUUGGAAACGGCUGCUAAUACCGCAUAAGCGCACAGUACCGCAUGGUACAGUGUGAAAAACUCCGGUGGUGUGAGAUGGACCCGNGUCUGAUUAGCUAGUUGGCAGGGCAACGGCCUACCAAGGCGACGAUCAGUAGCCGACCUGAGAGGGUGACCGGCCACAUUGGGACUGAGACAGGCCCAGACUCCUACGGGAGCAGCAGUGGGAAUAUUGCACAAUGGGGGAAACCCUGAUGCAGCGACGCCGCGUGGAGGAAGAAGGUCUUC